GUAGCGGCAAAAUCCGCUACCGGGCGUGGAAACCCGGAUUUGCUUGAGCGCACAGAUGCUCACCAGCGUCUUUUUU
rnacentral:sRNA from 1 species